rnacentral:hammerhead_ribozyme from 1 species
AUUCAGCUGACGAGUUCAAAAUAAGGACGAAACGCGCGUCAAACUGGAU